GUACCACUGUAUGCGGUUUUACUCAGAGCUGGUCUAUGGAUCUAUUGAAUGUGAGUGCCAGCCCAUUGUCUCCAUUGUAUGUCUUCCAGCUAACACCAGACAAUCUGCACUAUUAUUGGUUAUUUUAUGUUUUAUUAAUUUAUUUACAAGCACUUUAAAGUCCAGAAGGUUACCAACCAAGAAUAUCUCAAGUAUACUUUGGACUUUUUGGACUCAGUAUUUGGCGCAACCUGCAUUAUGUUUAGUAUCUUUUCUGUUUUUGCUCUUUGUAAGUGGCUGAGGGUAUCUCUUACAUUCACUGAUAAGCUGCCAGAUAGUGAAAAAUUAAAAUAGCAUGACAGCAGGCAGGAUAUGUGCAGGGUCUUUACUCAUCUAGCACUGUGUGGGUUUGUGCAUAACACGGUAACCUAUAUUCUUAAUUCUCUCCAGUCCUGAUUCAUUUUGAUUUAUCCUGGUGGAGUAAAGGUGAUAAGGCUACAGGACUACAAUGAUUAUGUAUGUCGUCACUGGAGAUGUUUGCAAGGGACCGCAGGGGGAGAUCGGACAGCCACAACAUUCAUAUAAGAUAUUUCCUUAUACUUGCCCCGCAGGCCAAUAGUUGCCAGCCCUCCCCUUACACCAGGGCACUCCAGUCAAAUCAAUUAGAUGGAAUGGUUAUACUGCCUAAACUAAGCAUUAUUUACAUUCUCUGUGGAAAAAUAAACUAUAUAGAACUUACUGGAUGCAACUGUAGUUCAGCAAUGCAAAAAUCAAUGUAAUCAAGUUAAGGUAAAGAUGCAUAAUUGAACAGGGCUCUACAAAAAAGAAUAUAACAUAAUGAAAUUGUUAUUGAUUUGAAUCAAGCCUCCGUUUUCUUCUUCGCUAUGUCUAACUUGAGGUUUUCUAUCUGCAAGUAGAGAUACUGAAUCUGCAAGUACUUAGUCCACUCUUCUGGCGUUGAAGUGCAAUUACUUAUGCUUUCUUGUAUUGCCUGGAUUUUUUCACACUCAUCUCCCUGUGUUGCAGUUACGGGCU